rnacentral:tRNA from 1 species
GGAUCGGUAGCUCAGUUGGUAGAGCACAGGACUCUUAAUCCUUAGGUCGUGGGUUCGAGCCCCACCCGGUCCACCA